rnacentral:rRNA from 1 species
UACAGGGGGGGCAAGCGUUGUUCGGAAUUACUGGGCGUAAAGGGUUUGUAGGUGGCUUGUUAAGUCAGACGUGAAAUCCCUCAGCUUAACUGGGGAACUGCGUCUGAUACUGAUGAGCUUGAGUGCAGGAGAGGAACGCGGAAUUCCAGGUGUAGCGGUGAAAUGCGUAGAUAUCUGGAGGAACACCGGUGGCGAAAGCGGCGCACUGGACCAUAACUGACGCUGAGGCGCGAAAGCUAGGGGAGCAAACAGG